UCUAACCGAGACCUUAUCUCUUUGUUUUUUUUUUUUUUUUUUCAUAGCAAGAGUGCUAUAGAAAAGUGAAGGACUAUUCUAAAAACCAUUUUAAUUUGAUAUAGAAAAGUAUUGUGAAUAUGCUAUUUCAGGUAUGGAAAAGCCAUAAAUUUCGAAUUAAAACCAAAAAGAGAUCGAGUGAUAUUGAAAAAUAAAAAAAAAAGAAGGAAAAUUUUGGUGAGAACGGGAAGGAAAGUAUUUUUAAUUCUGGCUCCUGUUGCAAUACGUCGUCGUAGCUGAAACGAAAACGUGCCAGGUUAUCCGUGAUGUCCCUUGAACUUGUCCGCUUUGCUUUCUCCCAGAUAGAUAUUUAUUCGAGUGAGAUUGAAUUAAAUUGUGAGAAACUUAUUCUUGAUGAUAUCCUGACGAGCAUACAUGGACAACAUUAUCUAUGACAUCAAGCCUCAACAUAAUUCGUUUACUGGAAAUCAUGACAUUAUUGUUUUAAUUGCUGCACUUCAAGAGAAAGAUAAGAGUACUGUUGUCAGGCAUGACCGGCGUAAUGCAGCUUCCAUUAUUGAUCUUGAUGGGGCUGAUGAUACUUUGUUUGCUAUUGUGCUCAAUGUUCCGGUUAGAUUGUAUGCUGGGCUUUGGAAGAGUAGGCGUUGGAUCACUUGGAUAGUGAUCUUUCUAAGUCUGGUCUCUUCGAAGAUACUGAAGAGGUCAGGGGACUUUUGGAUUUUUUUUUAAGUCAUGGCAGGGAGGUUUUGCUUGUCAUGAACAAGAAAGAGUGAAUCCCUUCUACUUUUAAGUUUUGGGUUGCGGUAGAAGUAGAAGCUUUGAACGUCUAUAAUUUGUAUUGCAGUCGUUAUCUUGUAAUUAGAGGAGAGCUUUGAAGAAUUUAGCAGUUUCUAUGCAUUGGCUUUAAAGGAUCUGGGGUUGAAUGAAAUAGCUCAUUUUGGAAGCCUUAACUGUUGCAGGUUUGACUCUGCUGCUCACAGAACUUUUCUGGUUCGUGCUGUGGUGUCUUAACACAGAGCAAUUUAUGCCUGAAAUACAAUUGAUCCAAAUUGCCAUACCGUCUGCAUUUGGAAUUUGAUACCCAUCUUUCCCUGUCGAUUUCUACUAUUCACGAUUUUUAUAGAUUUUUUCUCAGAAGUUUUCUUGAGCAAUCAUAUUAGUUGAUUUUUCGUUUUGUUUGCUGGAUUUAAGUGUAGUUGAAAUAUGCGAGUGCGUUCAUGUUCCUUCAAAACAAUGUAAUUACUCUGCAGUCAAACAUUCAUUUCCCAAUCAUAUUAGUUGAUUUUGCUCAUGGCCUCAGUCUAGGAACCUUGUUAUCAUUCAGACAUUGUAACCAUAGGUUUAGCUUAUGUCAUCUGCCAGAACAAGAGCCAGUUAAGAAGUGGUGGUGGUAUCAUUUCAAUGCUUUUGCUAGCGAUAUUUUUCUAUGAGAAAAGUUACCAAUUGCAGUACCAAGAUCAAAUCAAGUAGUGACUUUAGAAACGUUAUUUUAACUUUACAGUUAACUUUGCCUCUCUGUAGAUAUGAAAAUAAGUAGAUAUACUGUUGUCUCUGCAUAAUGCCAUGGACUAAAAGAAAAUCCGUCUUCUUUAAAGUUUGAUCAUAAUGCGUCUUUUGUCAUGUUAAUUGUUUGUACCUGUAUGUAUUCUUACCCAAUUUUUGUUUCAACGUACAUGAAGGGUUUCCUUUCUUGAUGGUUUCGUGUUUGGAAGUUUUUAGGCUGUUGGUAUCUUGAAGUUGUAGCCGGAUUUAUAUCAUUUUGGCAUAUUGUCAUCACCUCCGAUCGUGUAUUUCGUUUUUAGUGGUCUCAAAAUGAAGAACAGCAUCUUGAAUAUGGAAUAUGCACUGCAUUAAAAAGGCCAAUCUCCAGUCAAAAGCUCUUAUAUAUUUUAUACAUUCAAGAUAAACCACCAAGCAGAUUCUGCCGAAAGGUUGCCUCAUCUAGAACCCCCUUCCGAAAGCAGAAGAUUAAAUUAAAAUAACAUGGACCGUUCACUUUAGAAACUCCAAGGGGACCAAGGCCGCCAUGAAAGAGCAAGUGAAUUGAUGCAAUUCUGGUACGGCGUGUUGUCUUUAAAAACAAGUUUUCAAGGUCCUACUCCAUGAAUAUUUUUCAGUAGUCAUGCCUGUCCUGAUGAUGCUUUCACGUAAACUUUGGGUUUCAUUGUCCCCACUAAAUAUCAAAAUGUAGUUAUCUUAUAUUUGUAAUGUUGCAAGAAGAGCAUCUUGCUUUUUCUGUCACUAGAUUCACCAGGCGCCUUUCAUGAAGAGAAUCGAAUCUACAUUAUUGUUUAUUCAUUUAGAAUGUGUGUCGGAGCUCAAUUCCUGUACAGAAAUGAACAAAGAGAAACUGAUCAUACCUACCUACUACUACUGUUAUUUAUAAGACAGGUGCUAACGUCCUCAAUGAUCUUAAAGCCAUCACUUUGCUGUAUACUAUAACAUUUUAGAGUCUUUCUGCUUGCACGUCACAGGAGUGGAGUUUACGACAGUGCAACCUGGACUCCUAGAGCGGUGAACUCUUAAUUUGAUCGGAACCUGCAAGAAUCGAGUUAGAUUCCCGGCUAUUUGAAUGCUUCGCAAGGUUCCUUUCACAUUCAGUUUCUUUCGAUUGAAGUAAGAGUUUCACAGGCAAUCAUGCCUUUCUUUCUCAACCAAUAACCUUUCCAGCAUCUUUUCUUACCCCUCAAAAGGCUCAAAACAAUGACCUUUUUCAUUCUGUUCUAGUGUUCUCUUGUUUUAUAUUAUUAUUAUCAUUUUUCACUCUCUUACCUUCAUUUUCCAUAUUUAAACAUCAUCCCUCCUACCACUACUUCCAAUCCAGGAGGGAGUACAUUUUCUUCUUCUAAGUGUUAAGCUUUCACAAAAAUCCUGCAAUCAUGUCAACAAGGAUUAAUCAAGUGAAACACAAACCUGCUGGUACCAGCAGAACACAAUAUCCACCAACUAGAGACAGAGUUUCUGGGAAUAGAUGGCCUGGUCGAAAUUGUGGGUUCAGGCUCCUGAAAAGAUCAAUAGUGUCACCAGUGAAAUUUCUCAAGCAUUUUGGCAGGAAGGUCGCAAAAGCUGUGUGUUUAGGGAGGCGAUCUUCACCUGGAGUUUCUUCUUCAGGAAGAUCAAAACCAUCUGUAGCUCCUAGUGAUACUCACAUAGCUGAAGCCAUAGAAGAUUGCAUUGACUUCAUUAACUCUUCUUCUCUGCCGAGAUUAUUGUCAUAAGAUCAGAUUAUCGGUAUCACGGGAGAGAAGUAAAGAAAUUCCACAAGGUUUGCAUAUCCAUGCAUUCCCUAACCAAACCCCAUCAUGCAGUAAGAUUGAUAAACAAGCUAGUGUAAAGGUAAACAUUCAAGUAAAGGUGAUCGUGUGUGAGGAAUGAUUGGUCAACAUGUACAUUUUUUUUAUUUGUUCUCGGAGGGUGGUGUAGCUAAACCAACAGACAGCAGUUACUAUAGAGAGUUUGGGGUACAACACAACCAGAAAAAAAGGUUCUCUGUUGAGAAAGCAGUUGUUGAUUGGAAUGCUGAGUUUAAUUGGGCUAAAGUCAACAUCAAAACACACUUUCUACUUCCAAGUUGCAUGUGCGUGUGUGUAUUUCAUCUGGGAGAGAGGAAUCAUAGGCUGCGUUUAGACAACCUCCGUUCUUCUAGUUUGGUUCAAGAUAUUAAUAUCACUGCAGAAGUUAGAGUGAGAUCAUCAAGUGGCAGGCAAUGAACUAACUUUACUAAAUCUGCAGGUAAUGAGCUUUUCAGAAAGUUGAUUGUUCAGUUAAUCCAAUUUUCCUUUUCUUGUUUAAGUCAUUUCCGGAGUCUGUUUGUAGCAGAUUUUGUAUUGUAUUUGGCCUUUAGCAAAUAUGUGCUCCUUGAUCAGUUUGUUUGGAAUGAAUCAUUUCGUCCCACGAAAUAGAAAAGGUUCUGAUAAGGAUGCAAAA